rnacentral:rRNA from 1 species
GAUGAACGCUGGCGGCGUGCCUAACACAUGCAAGUCGAGCGAUUCUCUUCGGAGAAGAGCGGCGGACGGGUGGAGUAACGCGUGGGUAACCUGCCCUGUACACACGGAUAACAUACCGAAAGGUAUGCUAAUACGAGAUAAUAUACUUUUAUUCGCAUGGUAGAAGUAUCAAAGCUCCGGCGGUACAGGAUGGACCCGCGUCUGAUUAGCUAGUUGGUAAGGUAACGGCUUACCAAGGCGACGAUCAGUAGCCGACCUGAGAGGGUGAUCGGCCACAUUGGAACUGAGACACGGUCCAAACUCCUACGGGAGGCAGCAGUGGGGAAUAUUGCACAAUGGGCGAAAGCCUGAUGCAGCAACGCCGCGUGAGCGAUGAAGGCCUUC